AUCUAGCCCUGAUGGGAGGGAAAAUCCUUUUGUGCCGGUCCCGAGGCUUCGGGAGGCACAAAAGAUUUGGAAGGACAGCAGGAAAUAGC
rnacentral:sRNA from 1 species